rnacentral:rRNA from 1 species
UACAGAGGUCUCAAGCGUUUGUUCGGAUUCAUUGGGCGUAAAGGGUGCGUAGGUGGCGCGCUAAGUCAGGUGUGAAAUCUCGGGGCUCAACUCCGAAACUGCAUUUGAUACUGGCGUGCUUGAGGACUGGAGAGGAGACUGGAAUUUACGGUGUAGCAGUGAAAUGCGUAGAUAUCGUAAGGAAGACCAGUGGCGAAGGCGGGUCUCUGGACAGUUCCUGACACUGAGGCACGAAGGCCAGGGGAGCAAACGGG